UACGUAGGUGGCGAGCGUUAUCCGGAUUCACUGGGCGUAAAGAGCACGCAGGCGGUCCUUCAAGUCGGAUGUUAAAUCUCCCGGCUUAACUGGGAGCUGUCAUUCGAUACUGCUGGACUAGAGGACAGUAGAGGGAGGUGGAAUUCCCGGUGUAGUGGUGAAAUGCGUAGAUAUCGGGAGGAACACCAGUGGCGAAAGCGGCCUCCUAGGCUGUUUCUGACGCUGAGGUGCGAAAGCGUGGGGAGCAAACAGG
rnacentral:rRNA from 1 species